rnacentral:rRNA from 1 species
UACGUAGGUGGCAAGCGUUGUCCGGAUUUACUGGGCGUAAAGAGCGCGCAGGCGGUCGUUCAAGUCGCGUGUGAAAGCCCCCGGCUCAACUGGGGAGGGUCACGCGAUACUGAUCGACUCGAAGGCAGGAGAGGGAAGUGGAAUUCCCGGUGUAGUGGUGAAAUGCGUAGAGAUCGGGAGGAACACCUGUGGCGAAGGCGGCCGACUGGGCCGACCCUGACGCUGAGGCGCGAAGGCG